CUCAUCACAAAACAAAGAAAAGAAAAAGUAUGAAAGGAUAAGAUAAUAAUAAUAGCUUGGUUCUAUAACACUUUAAGACUUGCAAAACACUUUAUAAACAUCUCAUUUAUCCAAACCAACUCUGAGAAGUAGGCAUUAUUAUCCUCAUUGUAUUUCCCCUUGGCAAAUCCUACCAUAUAUAUUUAAAUAAAUUUCAAAAAAUAGUACAAGGGCUCCCAUCUAGUAAAUUUGAAAGUCAAUUAUGAAUUGGGAAAGGCUAGAAAUUUCUCUUAGAACAUAUGGCACCAGCAGCUAGGGUAACAUCCUUGGGGAGAUCUGAAUGCUUUGAUGAUUUAGGCUAGACCUAAAAAGGUUUAUUCUACCUGAAAGAUACCAGACACAGGAAGAAUAGAGAGAUAAGGAAAAGAAGAGCUUGGACAAACCACAGAGUUCGUCUUAGAACCCCUGAUUUUUACAAAGAAGAAAAAUGAACCCUCGAGAGGGUAAGUGACUUGCCCUAUGAACUUAGUAAGAGGAAGAAUGGGGACCUGAAUCUAAGAGGACAUCAGUGACUUGGGAGGGAUCAGGAAAAGUUUCCUAUAGUCAGUAGCACUGAGCUGGUUCUUGAAGGAAGUUAAGGACUGACUAGGAGAGGCAAAAUCGAGGAAGGACUGAAUUCCAUAUCCUGUAGUUUUGUUUUUUCCUCAGUCGUUCCUGGCUGUAAAUUUGACCAAGUGAUAUCCUCUUCACCUCUGCUCUGAGCCUAGGG
rnacentral:lncRNA from 1 species